GUCUAUGGCCAUGCUACCCUGAAUGUGCCCAAUCUCAUCUGAUCUCAGAAGCUUAGCACAGUUGGUCCAGGUUAGUACUUAGUACUCGAAUGGGAGAAAAGGCUUCUAUUAGAGUAAAGGGGGGAAAUGAGGAACCCAAGUGCUGUGAGCC
rnacentral:rRNA from 1 species